UAUAGUUAAAAUUGAUUUCUUUUCAUUUGUGUAUUCAUAUAUUUGUAUGUGCAUAUUCACACACCUACUUGCCUUAUUUGUUGGUUGUUCAGAUUUGGAAGCACAAAGCUUACUCAAACGUCAUGGAUCUGAAAAAUUAAGCUCAUUGAAACGUAUCCAUGGUUGAAGCUUUGAGCUCGCCGAAACAACUGUAAUAAAAACUAAAAGUAAGAAAAUCGAAAAGGG
rnacentral:lncRNA from 1 species